AAUUUGUUCCUUCAAAUUGGAUUGGAAGAGGAUAUCUCAAUGGAUUGGGAUUUGCUUUUUCUUUUCUUUACCCUUUUGAACAGUGAAUGGGCUGAGAUAUGCAUUAAAAAUGCUUUACCAAGUGAUGUUGUUUUCCAACUUUGUAUACUAUUUACUGGCUAUUUUAUAUAGCCUCAUGCAUAUUUUGGUUCAGUUUUAUUUGAUUCGAUACGGAUAAUCAGUUUAUAUAUGAUUUAUGUUUCAAUAAGGGGAUAGGGUGAGCCAUUUAUACUUUACCACGUUGUGGUUCCAUA
rnacentral:lncRNA from 1 species